GGGGUUUCAAAUCAUUUGGAUCCUGAUGAAGACAACCAUACUCAUUCAGCUUGCACUAACCUGCAAAUUAAUGUUUGCCACCAGAAACACCUCAGAUACAUGGUGUACAUGCUAUGCAAAUGAGCCAUAAUCUCUUGAUUGCAGGAUUCUUUGAAAUGCAUCAUUUGAUAACCGUUUCAGUUCUUCUACUGGGAGUGAUGCACGAUGUGAAAAUCCCGUGGACAAUCAAGGGCUGCUAGUCUCACUCUCACUCAAGGCCUCCACAGGGUUUUCACAGCUGAGCUGCCACAGCCUAAGCAAGACUCAUGAGUCAAGACUACUCCUGCUCUGCUCACCUUCCUGAUGCCAUCCCCUACCUAGCAGGCAGCAAGUAGUAACACAUCUCUCUCCAUCCUUUGUAAAAGAUGGUCUACAGUAAUACGACAACAGAACAUACUCUGGAGUAUACUCACAGCUAACCCGUGGAAAC